GAAAUGCGAUAAGUAAUGUGAAUUGCAGAAUUCAGUGAAUCAUCGAAUCUUUGAACGCACAUUGCGCCCCUUGGUAUUCCGAGGGGCAUGCCUGUUCGAGCGUCAUUACACCACUCAAGCCUGGCUUGGUAUUGGGCCCCGGGGGCGACCCGGACCCGAAUGUCCGCGGCUGGACGACCCAGAUCUCAGCGUUGUGCAUCAAUUCGCUGGCGAGACGGGCGGCCACGCCGGUAAACUCCAUCAAAGGUUGACCUCGGAUCAGGUAGGGAUACCCGCUGAACUUAA
rnacentral:misc_RNA from 1 species